GAUGCUCCUAGCCUCAGUUCUUUCAGAACUCAAAGGCGACAGAGCUUUUGGAAAGAUCCACAAGGCUCCGAGCAGAGAUGGUGUUGCCACGGUUCAGAAAACGGUCAGAUUUGCAGAUGAUGUCACGAAUGACAGAGACAGAAAUAACAGACCUUUCUCCGGUAGUUCCAGCUAUUCAUCAACAGAAGGUGAAGACAAGGAAAAGUGCUUGUUGUUUAAACGAAGGUUUAGUACUCAGCUACAAACCCAAGCUCCAAGAAGAGAAGAGGAGAUGCAAGAUCAGUUACAGAGAUUGAAAUGUAAAAAUCCAAAGCUAAAAGUUAAACCAGAGCAUCAAACAGAAGAAUCAGAACAGCUUCAGGUGAUCUCUGAGGGUACAAGUUUGGUAAGUCAGCUGUAUUCAGAAUACUAUUUUUCUUUGUCAAGUAGGGCUGCAUAGGAUUAUUUCAGGCACCAUGAGAAAUAUCCCAUGAGCAAGAGUAGGCAUAU
rnacentral:lncRNA from 1 species